rnacentral:rRNA from 1 species
UACAGAGGGUGCAAGCGUUAAUCGGAAUUACUGGGCGUAAAGCGUGCGUAGACGGUGGCGUAAGUCGGGUGUGAAAGCCCCGGGCUCAACCUGGGAAUUGCAUUCGAGACUGCUCUGCUAGGGUGCGGAAGAGGGAAGCGGAAUUUCCGGUGUAGCGGUGAAAUGCGUAGAUAUCGGAAGGAACACCAGUGGCGAAAGCGGCUUCCUGGUCCAGCACCGACGUUCAGGCACGAAAGCGUGGGGAGCAAACAGG